GGCGGUCCUCAGGUGACACACCCGGGAAUCGGGCUCCCUCCUCUCUGGUUCCAGGGGGGCCACCCGAGAACUGCA
rfam:Myotis brandtii contig313184, whole genome shotgun sequence.